rnacentral:lncRNA from 1 species
AGAGAUUCAAUCAAGGCGGUCCAUAAAGGUGGCCCAAGACAUGAAGUUAAAAUUAGAUUUCCUCAGGGGAAGUAAGUUAAGCUAAUUUUGUUUUCUGAAAAUUCUAACUGAAGUUGUUUGUUAUUAUCUUUUUUAGAUAUUGAUAUUUGCAUUUGGCUUGCAUUAUGCUUGCUACAAACAUCAAACACAUGCAUACAUAGUCAC